rnacentral:rRNA from 1 species
UACGUAGGGAGCAAGCGUUGUCCGGAAUCAUUGGGCGUAAAGCGCGCGUAGGUGGCUUCGUAAGUCCGUUGUGAAAGUCAAAGGCUCAACCUUUGAAUGCCGAUGGAUACUGCGGAGCUAGAGUACGGAAGAGGCGAGUGGAAUUCCUGGUAUAGCGGUGGAAUGCGCAGAUAUCAGGAGGAACACCAAUAGCGAAGGCAGCUCGCUGGGACGUUACUGACACUAAGGCGCGAAAGCGUGGGGAGCGAACAGG